rnacentral:rRNA from 1 species
GACGAACGCUGGCGGCGUGCUUAACACAUGCAAGUCGUACGGUAAGGGCCUUUUGGGGUUACACGCGUGGCGGACGGGUGAGUAACACUGGCGUAACCUGCCCACCACCUAGGGAUAACGCUUGGAAAUUGGUGCUAAUCCUGGGUACGUGCCCCUGCAGCCUGGUGGGGGUUGGCACGCUCCUGCGUAUGUGGAUGGACGGGCGGUCUAUUAGCAUGUUGGUGGGGUAGUGGUCUACCAAGGCGGGGAUGGGUAACCGGCCGGAGAGGGUGACCGGCCACAUUGGGACUGAGAGACGGACCAGACACCCACGGGAGGCAGCAGUGGGGAAUAUUGCACAAGGGGCGCGCGCCUGAUGCAGCGACGACGCGCGCGUGAAGACGGACGUCGGGUUGGAAGCCGCUUUCAGCAGGGACGAAACAAUUUGUGACGGUACCUGCAGAAGAAGCACCGGCUAACUACGUG